rnacentral:rRNA from 1 species
AUAACUUCGGGAAACCGGAGCUAAUACCGGAUAAUAUUUUGAACCGCAUGGUUCAAAAGUGAAAGACGGUCUUGCUGUCACUUAUAGAUGGAUCCGCGCUGCAUUAGCUAGUUGGUAAGGUAACGGCUUACCAAGGCAACGAUGCAUAGCCGACCUGAGAGGGUGAUCGGCCACACUGGAACUGAGACACGGUCCAGACUCCUACGGGAGGCAGCAGUAGGGAAUCUUCCGCAAUGGGCGAAAGCCUGACGGAGCAACGCCGCGUGAGUGAUGAAGGUCUUCGGAUCGUAAAACUCUGUUAUUAGGGAAGAACAUAUGUGUAAGUAACUGUGCACAUCUUGACGGUACCUAAUCAGAAAGCCACGGCUAACUACGUGCCAGCAGCCGCGGUAAUACGUAGGUGGCAAGCGUUAUCCGGAAUUAUUGGGCGUAAAGCGCGCGUAGGCGGUUUUUUAAGUCUGAUGUGAAAG